rnacentral:lncRNA from 1 species
AUGAAUCCUUAGAGUUACAAUGCCUUAUCAAUACUGCACAUUCAGUUAAUGCUUGCUGAGGAAUUACUCCUAGUUGCCUGGUCUUGACUUCACCAGAACUGAAAUGCAGGGGGUUCCAUGUUUUUUCACAAAGAGGCAGCAGUUGGACCAUGAAAUUUCCAAACACAAAGAUGUAGAGUGGCACCUGGUUGACAGGGCCAUCAGGUCAAAAACAUGAAGGCCCAUCUGAAAAGCCCCAUUAUGUCUAAUAACGGAAAAGCUCCUUGAAACUGAAUCAUGAAAGGAAUCGAAAAGUCCUUCUACUCCUUGCAGAGGAGUGGAAGCUUUGGAAAAAGACACCAUGGAGGUGACACAUUAAAGAAUCAGUAUCCAGGGGAAUCAACAGCUCAUGACAGCAGAUAAGCAGGCAGAGGUCCUUUCUCGACUGCAAACAUGAAGGGAGUGGAGCAUGACGGGAAACCAACUCUUUUCUCCCCUGGCUUUUGCUGUUGUGAUUAAGAAUGGAACCAGUGAAAAAGUUCAAAUUCAGAUGCCAUUGAUAAACAUGUAACAUUUUAUGGGGAAAAAAAUCCCAGUGGAAAAGAAAAAAAUGAAAUACAUUAAUACU